rnacentral:rRNA from 1 species
AUGUCUGAACAACAGGACCAAGUUAGUAAAAGCUCCUGCUCAAGUAUUAGCACCAGUACUCAGGGGAGUGAGGAUGAUGGGACCGUCGAUGCACUUUUAACGGAAGCAAAGACCAAUGGGCGCAGCCUUGGGAAGCGGCUGUCCCACUUAGAUUCACUCCCGCAUACUCCUCGAGUUAAUGGAAAAAUCCCUGAUUUUAGUAAUGCAACCAUAGACCAUGAAUCAUUAUUGGAAAGAUUGGGCACUUAUGGCUUAGCUGAAUAUCAGAUAGAAGGGGAUGGGAAUUGCCAGUUUCGAGCUCUGGCAGAUCAGAUAUUCCGCAAUCCUGAUUACCACAGACAUGUGAGGAAGGCAGUAGUGAAGCAGCUAAAGGAAUUCAGGAAACACUAUGAAGGCUAUGUACCAUUGGACUACAAGGUUUACUUGAAGAAAAUGAAAAGAUCUGGGGAAUGGGGAGAUCAUGUGACCUUACAAGCGGCUGCAGACCGGUUUGGUGCCAAAAUCUGCCUGCUGACGUCGUUUAGAGACACAUGCCUGAUCGAGAUAGUCCCCAGGGAUGCCGCUCCUACAAGAGAGCUUUGGCUAAGUUUCUGGUGCGAAGUACACUAUAAUUCCUUGUAUGCCAAUGAAGAUCUUCCGACACGCAAGACCAAAAAGAAGCACUGGCUGUUCUAG